UCCGAAAACUGCCACACAUCUUGAGCUCGCGGGGUACUACGCCGAACGGGGGUGUGUGAAGGACCUGGAAAGAGGUUGGAGACAGAGGAAGGAAAAGGGAAAUAAUGGAAGAACAGAAAGGACUUUUAGACACAACAGGCACAGCAGAAAAUCCAAAGGAGACAACUGAGGGGCGGCUCCUAGGCUCACAGGUACCUAGUGGAUCCCACUAAGGACAGAGCAGAAGUUUUGAACAGUGAACAAGAAUUACCUUCCAACUGAUCUAAACCUGUACUUCCAUGGCUUGAGCGCUUGCAGUGUUGCAUCCAAGUGAGGAAGCUCAAUAGUCAAGUAAAUGGCUGGCAACGUCUGUCUUAGUUUUUUUAGG